UACGUAGGGUGCAAGCGUUAAUCGGAAUUACUGGGCGUAAAGCGUGCGCAGGCGGUUAUGUAAGACAGUUGUGAAAUCCCCGGGCUCAACCUGGGAACUGCAUCUGUGACUGCAUAGCUAGAGUACGGUAGAGGGGGAUGGAAUUCCGCGUGUAGCAGUGAAAUGCGUAGAUAUGCGGAGGAACACCGAUGGCGAAGGCAAUCCCCCUGGACCUGUACUGACGCUCAUGCACGAAAGCGUGGGGAGCAACAGGAUAGAUACC
rnacentral:rRNA from 1 species